UGACUUUGUUCACGGCCGCGGUAUCCUAACCGUGCGAAGGUAGCGUAAUCACUUGUUCUUUAAAUGAGGACUAGUAUGAAUGGCACCACGAAGGUUAUACUGUCUCCUUUUUCUAAUCAGUAAAACUAAUCUUCCCGUGAAGAAGCGGGAAUAAAAAUAUAAGACGAGAAGACCCUAUGGAGCUUUAAACAAACAUACAAUUGCCUCUUCUCAUAAAAAUUUCAGAAAAAACACUUCUAUUUAGGCACUUUGAUAUAAAGUUUUAGGUUGGGGUGACCACGGAGUAAAAAACAACCUCCGCAGUGAAAGGGACUUUUUCCCCUAAACCAAGGGCCACGACCCUAAGAAUCAAUAAAUUGACACCAAUUGAUCCAAUUAAUUGAUCAAUGAACCAAGUUACCCUAGGGAUAACAGCGCAAUCCACUUCAAGAGCCCCUAUCGACAAGUGGGUUUACGACCUCGAUGUUGGAUCAGGGUAUCCUAGUGGUGCAGCCGCUACUAAUGGUUCGUUUGUUCAACGAUUAAAACCCUACGUGAU
rnacentral:rRNA from 1 species